GUCGGCUCUCUGCACAAUGUGGGUGCUCUUCUCACCUGCUCUCUUCCCUGUAUUUCUAGGAAUGUACCUGUGGGCUCAGGCUUGUGUGUCCUCCUGUCCCCAAGGCACAUGGCCUUCUGCGAGGAGUGGCAGCUGUGAGAACUGUACAGAGGACUGUGCCUCUUGCUCUGGAACCGAUCUUUGCAAGAGGUGCUGGGUUCAGCCCGACCGCCCUCUCUUCCUCCAUGACGGCAGAUGCUUCACCAAGUGCCCCGAGGGCUUUUAUGCAGAAGACGGCGUAUGUGAACGCUGCCACUCGCCUUGCAGAACGUGUGAAGGAAAAGCCACCAGCUGCCGCUCCUGCGAAGGCAGCCUCGUCCUGGACCAGGGAGUGUGCCAGGAAGUCUGCUCAGAGAGGCACGUGGCCGUGGACGGGGUGUGCGAGCACUGCCCGGAGAUGUGUCAGGACUGCCUCCAUGAGAAAACAUGCAAAGGUAGCUGGGAGCACCCCUUGCUGGGACCGACCACCGCAGGGUGGGUUUGGCUUCGUUUCCUGGGGCAGCUCUGAUGAAGUACCACACACUGAGUGGCUUAAAACAGCAGGGCUUUAUUGUCUCACAGUCCUGGAAGGCAGAAGUCCAAAAUCACGGUGUCAGUGGGGGCCACGCCCCAUCUGUGCUCUGAAGGGGAGACUCUUUCCUUGCGUCGUCUUGCUUCUGGUGUUUGCAUCCCUUGGCUAUAGAUGCAUCCUCCAAUCUCUGCCUCCUCUGUUUUCACGUGGCUGUCUUCUCCCCACUGUCCGUCUGCUGUGUGUCUAAAUUUUGCGUCUUCUAUAAGGACACCAGUCGUACUGAAUUAAGGCUCACCCUGACCCGGUUCGCCCUCAGGUUAACCAAUCCCAUCAUCGACCUUACGAUUUCAAAGGUCACGCUGAUGGCACCAGGGUUAAGACUUGAGCUUGUCUUUUAUGGGGACACAAUUUAAUCCAAAAUAGCAUCCAAAGAAAACUGUGGAGACCAGUCUCCCUAAGUUGGCUGAAGUGUGUCUAUCUCCAAGCAUAACAGUGAGGAAAUGGAGUGAGGCUGAGGCACAGCCUUUGCAUUAUGGACCCUCCAACUUAAGACAAACAGGAGCCCCUUUUUGCAUGAUUUCUGCCUCACCCAUACACUGAGCCCUUCGUACAUGCCACACACUCUCCCAAGGGCUAGAGACAUCAAGCAUAAGAUAAGGGCAGAAAGGUCCACCUCGAUAGAGCACAAAAUCGUAGAAGGGUGACUGCUACCAAACAACUAAAUGCAAAGGAAGCCAGAGAAUUUCAGUUGUUAUAAAAGAUAAGAAAGAAAAGUUCAGGCAGCUGUAAACUCUGAAAGCAGCACUUUGACUGUGCAUAGGUUUUUUUCCUCUGGAGUUUACUCCCAAGAAAGGCUGCCCAAUUUCUUCCCCCAAAUAAA
rnacentral:lncRNA from 1 species